GUUCCCCUGUGCUGUGCCCGUGGUGUCCCUGCGCCCGUGGUGUCCCUGUGCCACGCUGCGCCCUGGUGUCCUCGCCCCCGUCGUGUCCCCGUGCCGUGCCACCUCCUCCUCUCUCCCUGCAUCUUUGUGUCCACCGUGUCUCCGUGUCACCUCCCCCCCCAUGCCAUGCCCGUGGUGUCCCUGUGCCGUGUCCCUGUGCUGUGCCACGUCCCCGUGCCACGCUGCAGCCCUGUGUCCUCGCGCCAUCUGACACCCCUGUGCCACGCUGCGUCCUCGUGCCCAUUGCCACCUGGGGUCCCUGUGCCACACCACAGCCCUGUGCCACGCUGCGGCCAUGCCCCUCGUGUCCCUGUGCCACGUCCCCGUGCCACGCUGCAGCCUCAUGCCUAUUGCACCACCCUCCAUCCUCGUGCCCCGUGGCCUGUCCUCGUGUCCACCGCAUCCUCGUGUCCACCGCGUCCUCGUGCCCGUGGCGAGCGGGGCAGGACGGGUCCCGUGGUGCCACAGCCACGUCGGUGCCACGUCGCAUCCCUCCCGCCGCCCCCACCGGGCUCGGUGCGGUGCCGUUGCCUGGUGACAGCUUCGUGGCCGCCCACGCAGGGAGCUGCCGGCGGCACUGCCGCAGGGCUGGGGGCGGCCGUGGCCCCCCCCCUCACACCCCAGGGCUGGGGGGCUGGGGGGGGUGCCGGGGGUGUCCGGGCACCGCCUCACCCCGCUCCUCCCUGCAGAGGCCUUGGUGAACAGCCAGGAAUGGACCCUCGGCCGCUCCGUCCCCGAGAUCCGCCUGGGCGUCCUGGGCAGCAGCAAGAGCGGGAAGUCGGCGCUCGUCCACCGCUUCCUCACCGGCUCCUACGUGGGGCUGGAGCCCACGGAGAGUGAGUGGCCGUGGGAUGGGGGCGGCUGCGGGGUGGGGGCUGCUGUAGGGUUGGCCAUGGCCAUGGGACACGUGUGGCCAUGAGGUGGCCGUGGCCAUGGGACAGACGUGGUGGCCAAGAGAGGGACAUGGCCAUGGGAUGGAUGUGGUGGCCAUGGGAUGGACGUGGCCAUGGGAUGGACGUGUCCGUGGGACAGGC
rnacentral:lncRNA from 1 species